rnacentral:rRNA from 1 species
GACGAACGCUGGCGGCGUGCUUAACACAUGCAAGUCGAACGGAAAGGCCCUGCUUUUGUGGGGUGCUCGAGUGGCGAACGGGUGAGUAACACGUGAGUAACCUGCCCUUGACUUUGGGAUAACUUCAGGAAACUGGUGCUAAUACCGGAUAGGAGCUCCUGCUGCAUGGUGGGGGUUGGAAAGUUUCGGCGGUUGGGGAUGGACUCGCGGCUUAUCAGCUUGUUGGUGGGGUAGUGGCUUACCAAGGCUUUGACGGGUAGCCGGCCUGAGAGGGUGACCGGCCACAUUGGGACUGAGAUACGGCGCAGACUCCUACGGGAGGCAGCAGUGGGGAAUAUUGCACAAUGGGCGGAAGCCUGAUGCAGCAACGCCGCGUGCGGGAUGACGGCCUUCGGGUUGUAAACCGCUUUCGCCUGUGACGAAGCGUGAGUGACGGUAAUGGGUAAAGAAGCACCGGCUAACUACGUG